AAGUAGCACUCUGUAGCAGAUAAAACUGUCUGACACAAUUUGAGCUUGCUAUAGAAAGAAAGUCUAACCUAUUCCGGUAUUCUCUUCUCUUCGAGACAAGGCGUUAUAUAGACUUAAAUAGU
ensembl:snoRNA